rnacentral:lncRNA from 1 species
UCAAAAGAGAAAAAGCGAGAAAUUACAAGAGACUACUCAACCAACUAUCAAUUCUCUCCUUGAGUGCUGGUUUUGCCUGUAGGGUGACCAGCCAAAUCUCCUCCACAAAACUGGCUCUCCAUGACGCAAAGGAUAAGGAGCCUCUGUCAAAUACGAUGCUAUUCCGGUGGCACCAGAUACACCAGGCAGCCACUAUCACAAUUUCUCUGAAAAUGCUUGAACCAAAUCUUUCUCUGGAAUUAAUGACCGUG